UAGCUUAGUUGGUAAAGAAUCUGCCUGCAAUGCAGAAGACCUGGGUUCCAUCCCUG
rnacentral:tRNA from 1 species